rnacentral:rRNA from 1 species
UACAUGGGGUGCAAACGUUGCUCGGAAUUAUUGGGCGUAAAGCGCACGUAGGCGGUUCGUUAAGUCGGAUGUGAAAGCCCUCGGCUCAACUGAGGAAGUGCACCCGAAACUAGCGAGCUUGAGUACGAAAGAGGAUCGCGGAAUUCCCGGUGUAGAGGUGAAAUUCGUAGAUAGUCGGGAGGAACACCAAAGGCGAAGGCAGUGUCCUGGGGAGUACCUGACGCUCAGGUGCGAAAGCCAGGGGAGCGAACGGG